ACGCUCGACACCUACGGGGGCAGCAGUGGGGAAUAUUGCACAAUGGGGGAAACCCUGAUGCAGCGACGCCGCGUGGAGGAAGAAGGUCUUCGGAUUGUAAACUCCUGUUGUUGGGGAAAAAGAGGAUGGUACCCAACAAGGAAGUGACGGCUAACUACGUGCAGCAGCCGCGGUAAUCUGAGCGGGCUGGCAAGGC
rnacentral:rRNA from 1 species